UUUUUCGCUCCGAUAAUGAUGUUAAUUUCCUCACACACUACGGCUCUUUUCUAGCAGCUGUGAUUUAGGAUUAGGAAUAUCUACUGGAUGGGGUUCUGUCCCUUGAUAUUGCUGAGUAUUAACCUACAGUUUUAGCCACAAAUAUUGCUGAUCAUUAGUUAUAUUAUGGUGUGGUGUGGUAGUGAUGUCAGGCUGCAGUGGUGAAAUGUUUUCUUGAUGUGGUGGUGGUUAGGAAAAGACAGUGAGAGAUAAUGGUAUAGUGAUACACAAGGUACAGUCGGCUUCAAAAUGAAACACACUUUCUUACCUCUGUUCCUACCAAUAUUUCUAGCCUCUUACCAUGUCAACUCCAGGUUUAUUAGGAGGUAGUAAAUAUGAUUGGUUGGAAGUCUGAAGCUUCCUGUACAUGCGGUAAAGGUAAUAAUGUGAAUGACUUGUGAUGAUGAGGGGAGAAAGGUGGCGAUAGAUGAGGAUGGUGGUGAUAUUGUUCAGUGAGUGAAAAAAGGUUAACGCAUGGUGCUGGAGGUGGCUGGGGGUGUGAGAGUGAGAGUGAUGGAGGAUCAGAGGUGAUGUGAUUGUCAAUGAUGGUGUCAAUGAUGGGUGCUGGAGUGAUGGAGGUCACGGGAGGUUGGAUAACGGCGUGAUGAUUAGUGAUGGGGGAGUAAUGGAUAUGACGUGUUGUGAGGGAAUGAUGAUUAAUGAUGGGAAGUGAUGUGUACUGACAGCCUAUUUUUCUUUAGGGCAAUAUGGGCUUCGGUUCCCUCCCAUUGCUUCCUUGCAACCCUGUCUCCUUUCUCAUUUACCGAGUUUCACAUAUUACCGUUACUGGUAAUUUAAAUUUUCUUUACUCUGAGUUGUGACCUUCGUUCUUUCACUCAACUGAGUGUAUCGAAUGAUAAUUUUUACGUAAUGAAAAAAAAAACGAAAUUAUUUUCAAGAUUAUCACUGCAGUCUCUCUCUCUCUCUCUCUCUCUCUCUCUCUCUCUCUCUCUCUCUCUCAGUAUUGUCGAUUCUCUGUUUCCAUCCUCUACAGAGCACUUUACACCGUCAUUCGUUCUCUCUCCCUCUUCUCCUCCCCUGGGACGUAGUCUGUCCUCUCAAACGGUGUUUACGAACCACAGCCACUUACCAAAGACUUAUUUAAAAUCGAUUUCUCUCCCCACCUCUUUCCCUAUCAUUGCUAGUUUUCUCAGCCUAACAUGACUUGUUACCCAGCCAGGUGUGUCAGCGGUGUUGUGAUCGUCGCCUAGAGGUGUCCAUGUUCCGGGAGUCGCUGCCCUUCCAGUCCCCCUCCGCUGUCUGUCUGAGCAACCUGGGUGAAGAGCGGCGGACGCCGCGUUCCAUGUUAAUGUUUCCUGACCAGCCGUCCUCUCUUAUUUUCCCAGUCCUAGCGAGGUGAAGGAGGGACGCUUGCUUCUGCGGCAAACAAGGACUGAGGUGAAGGAGGGACGCUUGCUUCUGCGGCAAACAGAAGCAAUCCGCGAGGACGACAGGAAGGUGCGAACGUUUGAUUGAUGUGGAUGAAAAUGGUUAAUUAAUUGCUCAAUAUGUUGCUGACCAGCAGUCUUCAACGUUCGCACCUUGUCAUCCUCGUGGGUUGCUAUCUUAAACACCUUCACCACUUUAUCAGAAGCCGCCUCCUUUACUAACUAGUAGGGACUGGAGAGGCAAAGAGGACGGGGCUGAUCAGCAAACGGACGGAGAAACCAAGAAUGCCAUCUCGUGUCUCCAACCCUACGGGGUGGUUGUAAGCACCGAGGACGCAAGGAUGGGGAUAGCCCACGAACGCCCGGCGAUGUCUUUAGUACGAAAACUCUGGGAGGGCGAAGGCACGUGGCAUUCAGCGGGUGAGAACUCAGCAAUGUUGCUGGAAGACAAGCAAGUGUUGCAACUGUGGACAUCUAGCACCAGAGCGGUAGCCGGCCAUCACGAAUUACCCACACCAUUUCGAGAUGAAGAACCGGAUCUGCCAAACAACAACAACGAGAUGGCGCAGAAACGCUUGAAGGGACAGACGACGCCUCGCUAGGGAUCCGGACUUCAGACGACGAUAUGCAGGAGAGAGAGAGAACAAUUGCUAUUAGAGAGUUAUGCCAGCGUCUGAACGUGAAGGACCACGAGGAGUAACCUGGUGCCUGCCUCACCAUCCACUCAUGAACCCAAACAAACCUGAGAAAGUGAAGGCUUUGUUUGCGCAGCGAAGUACAACAACGUUUCCCUCAAAGACGGAGUGAUGCAGGUUCCUGACCUAAAUAGCAAACUGGUGGGUGCCCUUCUGCGUUUCCGAAGUGAACUGAUUGCCGCGAUGGCUAAUGAUGUGAAGGCAAUGUUUCUCAUCAAGCUGGCGUGACCCCUCUUCACCGAGACUCCUUAAGAUUCCUUUAGUGGAAAGAUGGGGACCUAAGGAGGGUAACGCGCGCCUACCGAAUGACGGGUAUGUCUUUUCGGAUGUGUAUGGAGUCCCUCCUGUGCUGCUUACGCAUUGCAAUGAACUUUGAGUUUGACCGACUGUGAGGAAGAAUAUCGCAUGGCCAGUAGUAAACUAAGCAUGGAGAGGCUUGUACGUGGACAACUUGAUUCUUUCAGUACCUCCACCGAAAAUGCCUCCAGAUUUACUCGCGAUCUUCAACAAAUGCUCACAAAGAGAGGAUUUCUGCUAACAAAGUGGGGUUAGUAGUAACCAUAAGGAGACAUAGUAGUAGUACACUGUGUCCUACAGAGAGAGACAUGAAUAAGAAUAGAUCUGAGUAAGGACGCACUGGCUACAAAACAGGAUCUGGAAAGGGAUCAAUCAACUAGCUGUGAGGGGAGUACUGAGGGUGAGCAGUUCCGUGUAUGACCCUCUUGGACUGGUCAGUCCUGUAAUGAUUAAGGCGAAGGCGAAGAAGAUCUUUCAGGACGAGUGCAACCGAAAGGAAGGAUGGAUGCCCCCCUCCUGCUAAAUCACCACAGGUCCUAGUUGGCUUGGCUAGAGGAGUUACCACGACUGACGGUCUUUCAAGUUCCCCGAUGCUACAGGCGGGAGGACAUGGGAGACGUUAUCACUUACCAACUGCAUCAUUUCAGAUCAAACAUGCUGAGAUGGUGAUAUUAAGAGUUGUUCAAACCACAACGUGCAAAGAAGAGAUGAACCUAAAGUUAAAGUCAAAGAAAAAAAACUACAGAGGAAGCAUUCGAUCUGUCGAGUGGAACCCUUCAUGGGUGAGGGUGGAUUUUACUCCAUGUGGACGGCUGGACCACGCACCGUUGCCUGCUACAAGUCGGUAUCCCAUUUCCACCAUGCUCAUACGGAGAGAGAUCAUCAUAUCACACAAAAUUGAUUCUACAAGAGUGCAUGAGAACUUACUUACUUGACAGUUCACGCAGGAUGGGAGCAUGUUACGUCACACUUACUGGAUUCCACACACACCACCUGCCUGAGGACCGAGACUAACCCCCAUGCUGGCACCAUUCUCGUCAGCUGGAGUGGAUUGCUUCAGACCGUUCUUGGUCAAAGUGGAAAGAAGCAGAGUGAAAGUGUUGGGGAUGCCUCCACGUGCACGCACAUAAGAACAUAAGAAAUAAGGGAAGCUGCAAGAAGCGACCAGGCUUCUUCAUGCAGGGACGUGGCAGUCUCUGUAUGAAAUAUAUCUACCUAUUUUUCUCUAUUUCUUAUCCC